GCCUCCGUAGCUCAGCGGUAGAGCGGCCGCCUUGUAAGCGGCAGGUCGAGGGUUCGAAUCCCCCCGGGGGCU
rnacentral:tRNA from 1 species